AGCGAACGCUGGCGGCAGGCCUAACACAUGCAAGUCGAACGAACUCUUCGGAGUUAGUGGCGGACGGGUGAGUAACACGUGGGAACGUGCCUUUAGGUUCGGAAUAACUCAGGGAAACUUGUGCUAAUACCGAAUGUGCCCUUCGGGGGAAAGAUUUAUCGCCUUUAGAGCGGCCCGCGUCUGAUUAGCUAGUUGGUGAGGUAAAGGCUCACCAAGGCGACGAUCAGUAGCUGGUCUGAGAGGAUGAUCAGCCACAUUGGGACUGAGACACGGCCCAAACUCCUACGGGAGGCAGCAGUGGGGAAUCUUGCGCAAUGGGCGAAAGCCUGACGCAGCCAUGCCGCGUGAAUGAUGAAGGUCGUAGGAUUGUAAAAUUCUUUCACCGGGGACGAUAAUGACGGUACCCGGAGAAGAAGCCCCGGCUAACUUCGUG
rnacentral:rRNA from 1 species